rnacentral:rRNA from 1 species
UUACGCCUUCAUGAAGCCGGAAUUGCUAGUAAUGGCAGGUCAGCAUACUGCCGUGAAUACGUUCCCGGGCCUUGUACACACCGCCCGUCACACCAUGAGAGUUGGGAAUACCCGAAGCCUGUGAGCUAACGUUAAGAGGCAGCAGUCGAAGGUAGAAUCAAUGAUUGGGGUGAAGUCGUAACAAGGUAAC